GACGAACGCUGGCGGCGUGCUUAACACAUGCAAGUCGAACGGAAAGGCCCUGCUUUUGUGGGGUUCUCGAGUGGCGAACGGGUGAGUAACACGUGAGUAACCUGCCCUUGACUUUGGGAUAACUUCAGGAAACUGGGGCUAAUACCGGAUAGGACCUCCUGCUGCAUGGUGGGGGUUGGAAAGUUUCGGCGGUUGGGGAUGGACUCGCGGCUUAUCAGCUUGUUGGUGGGGUAGUGGCUUACCAAGGCUUUGACGGGUAGCCGGCCUGAGAGGGUGACCGGCCACAUUGGGACUGAGAUAGGGCCCAGACUGCUACGGGAGGCAGCAGUGGGGAAUAUUGCACAAUGGGCGGAAGCAUGAUGCAGCAACGCCGCGUGCGGGAUGACGGCCUUCGGGUUGUAAACCGCUUUCGCCUGUGACGAAGCGUGAGUGACGGUAAUGGGUAAAGAAGCACCGGCUAACUACGUG
rnacentral:rRNA from 1 species